UGGGGAAUUUUGGACAAUGGGCGCAAGCCUGAUCCAGCCAUGCCGCGUGCGGGAAGAAGGCCUUCGGUUGUAACCGCUUUUGNCAGGGAAGAAAUCUUCUGAGUUAAUACCUCGGGAGGAUGACGGUACCUGAAGAAUAAGCACCGGCUAACUACGUGCCAGCAGCCGCGGUAAUACGUAGGGUGCAAGCGUUAAUCGGAAUUACUGGGCGUAAAGCGUGCGCAGGCGGUUUUGUAAGACAGAGGUGAAAUCCCCGGGCUCAACCUGGGAACUGCCUUUGUGACUGCAAGGCUUGAGUGCGGCAGAGGGGGAUGGAAUUCCGCGUGUAGCAGUGAAAUGCGUAGAUAUGCGGAGGAACACCGAUGGCGAAGGAAUCCCCUGGGCCUGCACUGACGCUCAUGC
rnacentral:rRNA from 1 species